AGUUUUAUAGCUCAGUGGUAAGAGCCCCCGCACCUCUUAGUGUCUUGCAACAUGGUCAUGUGAGAGGCCUGGGUUUGAUUCCCCAUGGAACCG